rnacentral:tRNA from 1 species
AGCCGGUUCGUUCAGUGGUAGGACGCCGCCUUUUGACGGCGGAUGUCGAGGGUUCGAGUCCUUCACCGGCUUCCA